CCUGCCCCACUGCUUCUUCUCCUCUCCCUUAGGAACUCUAGCUUCACCUCGCUUCGUAAUGGACCCCAAUUGCUCCUGCUCCACUACUCCUGCAAAUGCAGAGAGUGCAAAUGCACCUCCUGCAAGACGAGCUGCUGCUCCUGCUGCCCCGUGGGCUGUGCCAAGUGUGCCCAGGGAUGUGUUUGCAAAGGGACACUGACAAGUGCAGCUGCUGCUCCUGAUGUAGGGAAAGCUGUGUUCCC
rnacentral:lncRNA from 1 species